rnacentral:rRNA from 1 species
UGAGGAAUAUUGCACAAUGGGCGCAAGCCUGAUGCAGCGACGCCGCGUGGGUGAUGAAGGUCUUCGGAUCGUAAAGCCCUUUUCUGCGUGACGAGACAGGACGGUAGCGCAGGAAUAAGUCUCGGCUAACUACGUGCCAGCAGCCGCGGUAAAACGUAGGAGACAAACGUUAUCCGGAGUUACUGGGCGUAAAGGGCGUGUAGGCGGUAUGUUAAGUCUGGCGUGAAAGCUCUCGGCUAAACCGGGAGAGGUCGUUGGAUACUGGCAAACUAGAGGAUGGUAGAGGCGUGUGGAAUUCCGGGUGUAGUGGUGAAAUGCGUAGAGAUCCGGAGGAACACCAGUGGCGAAGGCGACACGCUGGGCCAUACCUGACGCUAAAGCGCGACAGCAUGGGGAGCAAACGGGAUUAGAUACCCAUGUAGUCCCUGAGCGGGCUGGCAAGGCGCAU